rnacentral:rRNA from 1 species
CCUACGGGUGGCAGCAGUGGGGGAUAUUGCACAAUGGGGGAAACCCUGAUGCAGCGACGCCGCGUGGGGGAAGAAGUAUUUCGGGAGGUAAAGCCCUAUCAGCAGGGAAGAAGAAAGGACGGUACCUGAGUAAGAAGCACCGGCUAAAUACGGGCCAGCAGCCGCGGUAAUACGUAUGGUGCAAGCGUUAUCCGGAUUUACUGGGGGUAAAGGGAGCGAAGGCGGCACGGCAAGCCUGAUGUGAAAGCCCGCGGCCCAACCGCGGGACUGCAUUGGGAACUACCGGGCUGGAGUGCCGGAGAGGUAGGCGGAAUUCCUCGUGUAGCGGUGCAAUGCGUAGAUAUUAGGAGGCACCCCAGUGGCGAAGGCGGCCUACUGGACGGUGACUGACGCUGAGGCUCGAAAGCGUGGGGAGCAAACAGGAUUAGCUACCCGUGUAGUC